UGACACCUGCCAGCUAGACAUGUACACCUUACAAUCAUUCCAUACACCAAAUAUAGUAGACCUAUUGCAUACAGUAUAAGAAAAACAGACCAAAACACAAAAACUUAACUAUAACCACUGAACCAUGAAAAUGAGGUCAAGGUCAGAUGACACCUGCCAGCUAGACAUGUACACCUUACAAUCAUUCCAUACACCAAAUAUAGUAGACCUAUUGCAUACAGUAUAAGAAAAACAGACCAAAACACAAAAACUUAACUAUAACCACUGAACCAUGAAAA